GGAACACAGGUGCUGCAUGGCUGUCGUCAGCUCGUGUCGUGAGAUGUUGGGUUAAGUCCCGCAACGAGCGCAACCCUUGUCAUUAGUUGCCAUCAUUGGUUGGGCACUCUAAUGAGACUGCCGGUGACAAACCGGAGGAAGGUGGGGAUGACGUCAAGUCCUCAUGGCCCUUAUGGGUAGGGCUUCACACGUCAUACAAUGGUCGGUACAGAGGGUUGCCAACCCGCGAGGGGGAGCUAAUCCCACAAAGCCGAUCGUAGUCCGGAUCGCAGUCUGCAACUCGACUGCGUGAAGUCGGAAUCGCUAGUAAUCGUGGAUCAGCAUGUCACGGUGAAUACGUUCCCGGGUCUU
rnacentral:rRNA from 1 species